UCGGGAAUUUUGGGCAAUGGGCGAAAGCCUGACACAGCAACGCCGCGUGAAGGAUGAAGUCCCUCGGGAUGUAAACUUCGUAAGAAUAGGAAGAAUAAAUGACGGUACUAUUUGUAAGGUCCGGCUAACUACGUGCCAGCAGCCGCGGUAAUACAGAGGGUGCAAGCGUUAAUCGGACUUACUGGGCGUAAAGGGUGCGUAGGCGGAAGGAUAAGUUAGUUGUGAAAGGCCUGGGCUUAACCUAGGAACUGCAAUUAAGACUGUCCAUCUAGAGUUGAGUAGAGGGGAGCGGAAUUUCCGGUGUAGCGGUGAAAUGCGUAGAUAUCGGAAGGAACAUCAGUUGCGAAGGCGGCUCUCUGGACUCAAACUGACGCUGAGGCACGAAAGCGUGGGUAGCGAACAGGAUUAGAUACCCAUGUAGUCCCUGAGCGGGCUGGCAAGGCGCAU
rnacentral:rRNA from 1 species